rnacentral:rRNA from 1 species
UUCCGGUUGAUCCUGCCAGAGGUUACUGCUAUCGAGGUUCGACUAAGCCAUGCGAGUCGAAUGUAGCAAUACAUGGCGUACUGCUCAGUAACACGUGGACAACCUACCCUUAGGACGGGGAUAAACCCGGGAAACUGGGUAUAAUACCCGAUAGAUCUGGGCUGCUGGAAUGCAUUCAGAUUUAAAACUCCGGUGCCUAAGGAUGGGUCUGCGGCCUAUCAGGUUGUAGUGGGUGUAGCGUACCUACUAGCCUACGACGGGUACGGGUUGUGAGAGCAAGAGCCCGGAGAUGGAUUCUGAGACACGAAUCCAGGCCCUACGGGGUGCAGCAGGCGCGAAAACUUUACAAUGCCGGCAACGGCGAUAAGGGGACCUCGAGUGCCAGGUUACAAAUCUGGCUGUCGCGAUGCCUAAAAAGCAUUGCAUAGCAAGGGCCGGGCAAGACCGGUGCCAGCCGCCGCGGUAACAC